rnacentral:rRNA from 1 species
AACGGACGCUGGCGGCAGGCCUAACACAUGCAAGUCGAGCGAGACCUUCGGGUCUAGCGGCGGACGGGUUAGUAACGCGUGGGAACGUGCCCUUCUCUGCGGAAUAGCCACUGGAAACGGUGAGUAAUACCGCAUACGCCCUUCGGGGGAAAGAUUUAUCGGAGAAGGAUCGGCCCGCGUUAGAUUAGAUAGUUGGUGGGUAACGGCCUACCAAGUCUACGAUCUAUAGCUGGUUUUAGAGGAUGAUCAGCAACACUGGGACUGAGACACGGCCCAGACUCCUACGGGAGGCAGCAGUGGGGAAUCUUGGACAAUGGGCGCAAGCCUGAUCCAGCCAUGCCGCGUGAGUGAUGAAGGCCUUAGGGUCGUAAAGCUCUUUCGCCAGAGAUGAUAAUGACAGUACCUGGUAAAGAAACCCCGGCUAACUCCGUG